rnacentral:rRNA from 1 species
AGUGAACGCUGGCGGUAGGCCUAACACAUGCAAGUCGAACGGCAGCACAGUAAGAGCUUGCUCUUACGGGUGGCGAGUGGCGGACGGGUGAGGAAUACAUCGGACUCUACUUUUUCGUGGGGGAUAACGUAGGGAAACUUACGCUAAUACCGCAUACGACCUACGGGUGAAAGCAGGGGAUCUUCGGACCUUGCGCGAUUGAAUGAGCCGAUGUCGGAUUAGCUAGUUGGCGGGGUAAAGGCCCACCAAGGCGACGAUCCGUAGCUGGUCUGAGAGGAUGAUCAGCCACACUGGAACUGAGACACGGUCCAGACUCCUACGGGAGGCAGCAGUGGGGAAUAUUGGGCAAUGGGCGCAAGCCUGAUCCAGCCAUACCGCGUGGGUGAAGAAGGCCUUCGGGUUGUAAAGCCCUUUUGUUGGGAAAGAAAAGCAGCAGGUUAAUACCCCGCUGUUCUGACGGUACCCAAAGAAUAAGCACCGGCUAACUUCGUG